rnacentral:lncRNA from 1 species
GGAGGUUGAAUAGGGUUAGAAAGACGGCAUGACUAUAUCUCUAAUGUAGACCUAAAGUGCUUCCUAGAGCUAGGGACCAGGAUUCUAAAUGAGACCUGAGGGAAUGGAGCUGUUGUUGACAAGAGCUGUUAGACAAACAGGACAUGGAGGAGGAGAGGUCAAAAGUCCGUCUGACUCACCUGUGCUGAGUGACUUGAAUGCCAUCUAAUCUAACUUCAAGUGUAAGAAUUCUGGACCCUUAUUUGAAGUCUCUCCUGCUUUGUUGGGCAAAAGUAAUGAGAAACUCCACUUGGCUUCAGAAUGCAGUGUCAACUCCACAUGAAUCAAAGCAAUAAAAAAGAAUCAACUCAGAGCAGGCUGAGCUAUGUGAGGUGAGGACAGUCUGUUCUGAAGGUCUACACAUUAAUGCUUCCUAUUGGGAAUUCAAAUCGGCAAUUUGUUCUUCUUCUGGUUGUUUGAAUCUUCAAAAUAGAGGGAAGACACCUGGAUGAAACAUUUUCACAGACUCUGCAAUUCCCUUAAGAGGAUCCCAGAGCCCUUAAGCUUCUCUUAGAUUCCUCUGAUUUUUUUCAGCCCAAGGACUGUUACCACAUGUCUUCCAUCUUGCCCACAAUUUUAGCAGGUGUGUGUAGGUGGAGCUCAAAGUUAAAAAUAACUCCAGUAAACUCACAUAUCUUUUUUCACAAA